rnacentral:piRNA from 1 species
CCCCAACUGCGGGAAACUCGACUGCA